AUCAUUUCUCGGCCUUUUGGCUAAGAUCAAGUGUAGUAUCUGUUCUUAUCAGUUUAAUAUCUGAUAUAUCCUCUAUUUGAGGACUCUAUAUUAAAUGGAUUUUUGGGACUGGGAAAAGUAAACAAACACACACACACACACACA
rnacentral:snRNA from 1 species